UACAGAGUGAACAAUGGCGGCCACCACUUCGUUUUAUAUGUCUUUUAUUCGUGUUUCUAGGUCACAAAAUAAGCUUUUAAGAUAUUUUCAGGCGAGAAUGUAGGUGUGUAAACUUCAAAUAUCUGCUUGUUUUAUCAAGACAUCCCAUAUUUAGCGACAGUGCUCUGACUACGUUGGUCCUGCCUGACAGCUAGCCGGCUACCUAGCUGGCUACCUAGCUAGCUGCCGCACUUGGCUGCAAAUGGAUAGCGAGGGGACUCUCUCUGUCGUUUCACCUCCCUGGUCUCUCGCAAAUGCUCGCAUAGAAUCGGAGUUACAGCUGGAUGUGGAAAAAAUAACUGAGUUGUUUGGUGGUGGAGCUACAACAGAGGGCAGCUACCCACCGGUGUGUGACAGAAAGGACAUGCCGCCAACGAGACAUAUGAGGCCGGGCAGGCGAUUGCUAACGCGGUGGUCAAUCAUGGAUCAGGGAAAGCGAAGGCAGGAGCGUGAGGUGAACUGAAUUUCAGGCGUUAACUACAGCAGACUUUUAUACCUCAACUCUUGAUUCAGCCAAGGUAAGUGCCCCCCCCCCCCCUUAUAUUUUCUAUGUAUGUGUUCAGCUGAUAUUUAGAAAAAAAUAGGUGUGUUUAGCGUUGGAUGUCAUUUUAUUCCAGAGCUGUUGUUUGUAAUUAAAACUUUUAAGAUUAGAUGGUACAGUGUUUUUACUCCCUUCCAAACAGUAAAGUUCCUCUUUGUUUCUCAGUAGGAAAUUUAAACCAGACAGUACAAGGCUACAUUUCAGUGUUACAAGCCAAUCAGUUUGCUAAUUGUUCUGUGAGAUUUGUUUGCAAAGUUUAAGGUGUUAAGUAGGACUGUGAACAUCUGGGUCUGCUUGCUGCUGGCAUUCUGCCACAGCCCCAGCAACAAGACCGCCUCCCAGCAACGAGACUGCCUGUCAGCCUUGCAAGAUGCCGAAAAAAAAUAAAAGAUCCCAGGCACAAAAGAAGCGCUGGAAACCACUUGACCUGGUCGAUCCUGCUGUCCCAGUGCUCUCUGGCCACAACCAAGAUGAGGCAGUCAGUAGUUUUCCAUCUGACCAGCAGACGGCACCAGCCGGGUUAUCUUUGGAAACACAGGAUAGACCCACCUCCUUAUGUUCCCCAGGUACCAAGCAGACAGCUAGCUUGUCCUUGGAAACGGAGAAUAGACCCACCUCCUUAUGUCCUCCAGGCAGCAAGAGUUCAGAAACUCGUCCACCAGCAAAACGAGUCUGGGCAACCGAUGAUUUCCACAUGGCAUCAAAUUCUCCACCUAAAAGGUAUGCCCACAA
ensembl:lncRNA